rnacentral:rRNA from 1 species
CAAGACCUGCGCUUUUGGAGCGGCCGACGCCUGAUUAGCUUGUUGGUAAGGUAAAAGCUUACCAAGGCUUCGAUCAGUAGCUGGUCUGAGAGGACGACCAGCCACACUGGGACUGAGACACGGCCCAGACUCCUACGGGAGGCAGCAGUGGGGAAUUUUGGACAAUGGGGGCAACCCUGAUCCAGCCAUGCCGCGUGAGUGAAGAAGGCCUUCGGGUUGUAAAGCUCUUUCAGCCGGAACGAAACGGUUACGGUUAACACCCGUGACUACUGACGGUACCGGAAGAAGAAGCACCGUCUAACUACGUGCCAGCAGCCGCGGUAAUACGUAGGGUGCGAGCGUUAAUCGGAAUUACUGGGCGUAAAGCGUGCGCAGGUGGUUUUGUAAGUCAGAUGUGAAAGCCCCGGGCUCAACCUGGGAACU